CUGAAGCUGUAAACAAACUGUCAAGGAAAACACUUCAUAAUAAUGGAAUUAAGCAGAGACUUUUAGCCAAAGCAUUCAUGCCUGCAUACAUUUUAGGUACGGGUGGUUCUGGGAAUCGAACACACUAUCCUAGCGUUGCCAGCCCCACGCUCUAUCAACUGAGCCAGACGAACACUUCUAACAAAGCUGACAGUAGUGCAAUGGGGGUGGCAGGUCGUCUUGUGGAUACGGCUGUUGGGCCAAUGGGGGUGGCAGGUAGUCUUGUGGAUAAGGCUGUUGGGCCAAUGGGGGUGGCAGGUAGUCUUGUGGAUAAGGCUGUUGGGCCAAUGGGGGUGGCAGGUAGUCUUGUGGAUAAGGCUGUUGGGCCAAUGGGGGUGGCAGGUAGUCUUGUGGAUAAGGCUGUUGGGCCAAUGGGGGUGGCAGGUAGUCUUGUGGAUAAGGCUGUUGGGCCAAUGGGGGUGGCAGGUAGUCUUGUGGAUAAGGCUGUUGGGCCAAUGGGGGUGGCAGGUAGUCUUGUGGAUAAGGCUGUUGGGCCAAUGGGGGUGGCAGGUAGUCUUGUGGAUAAGGCUGUUGGGCCAAUGGGGGUGGCAGGUAGCCUUGUGGAUAAGGCUGUUGGGCCAAUGGGGGUGGCAGGUAGCCUUGUGGAUAAGGCUGUUGGGCCAAUGGGGGUGGCAGGUAGUCUUGUGGA